rnacentral:rRNA from 1 species
UACGUAGGGUGCAAGCGUUAAUCGGAAUUACUGGGCGUAAAGCGUGCGCAGGCGGUUAUAUAAGACAGUUGUGAAAUCCCCGGGCUCAACCUGGGAACUGCAUCUGUGACUGUAUAGCUAGAGUACGGUAGAGGGGGAUGGAAUUCCGCGUGUAGCAGUGAAAUGCGUAGAUAUGCGGAGGAACACCGAUGGCGAAGGCAGGUCUCUGGGCUGACACUGACGCUCAUGCACGAAAGCGUGGGGAGCAAACAGG